rnacentral:rRNA from 1 species
GACGAACGCUGGCGGCGUGCCUAAUACAUGCAAGUAGAACGCUGAAGGAGGAGCUUGCUCUUCUGGAUGAGUUGCGAACGGGUGAGUAACGCGUAGGUAACCUGCCUGGUAGCGGGGGAUAACUAUUGGAAACGAUAGCUAAUACCGCAUAACAUUGACUAUUGCAUGAUAGUUAAUUGAAAGGUGCAAAUGCACCACUACCAGAUGGACCUGCGUUGUAUUAGCUAGUUGGUGGGGUAACGGCUCACCAAGGCGACGAUACAUAGCCGACCUGAGAGGGUGAUCGGCCACACUGGGACUGAGACACGGCCCAGACUCCUACGGGAGGCAGCAGUAGGGAAUCUUCGGCAAUGGACGGAAGUCUGACCGAGCAACGCCGCGUGAGUGAAGAAGGUUUUCGGAUCGUAAAGCUCUGUUGUAAGAGAAGAACGAGUGUGAGAGUGGAAAGUUCACGCUGAGA